CUGGAAGUACAAGAAGACUGAGUUCUCGGUCUCAAGAAAGUCAGACUCUCCUGAAUCAAGGGAAGCUUCCUGUGUCAGGAGGAAACCGAGGCCUGUGGCAGUUGCCUAAGAUCACACUGGCUGUGUGGAAGGCUAGGACCCAGACUCCAUUCUCCUGACGCCUGGCGGUGACUUUUUCCACUACAUCAGCAUCCCCAGAAUGUGAUCCCAGGAAGGCUCAUUCCAGGAGAGUAGCCCAACAGGCUGUGUUGGGGGCAGCUGAAAUGAGGAGCCAGGAUUCCCACUGAGAAGACAGGCAGAAGGGCUUCACAGCAGGGCUUCAGCCUCACAGGUGAUGGAAGGAACAACUGGAACGCCUCAAUUUAUUGAGUGUCUUCAGACUGAUGAGGCAUAUCCUGGGCUGAAACAUGAGCUAAGUGUAUCUUAUUUCUCAUUUAUUGGAAGUGGUAUGGCUAGCAGUUAAGAGGUUGAACUAGGUGUCUGCUAGCCUCAUUCUUGUCUAGCUAUGCCAUUUAACAGCUCUCUGAUCUUGGCGGCAGUUAUUUUAGCUCUCAGAGCCUCCAUUUUCUCAUCCACAGAAUGGGGCUGGUGAUUCCUCAAUCUCACAAUUCUUGUAAGAGUGAAAUGCUGCAUCCGAUGUGUUACAUGUAAUGGACCAUAUAUAAGAAUCUUUGCAGAAUUCUUGGAACCUAGUGUGUGCUGGUGCUGAACUAUGUGAAUACUGUGUGAUAGCUCCUGCUCAUUGGGUUCAGUGGAUGUGACAGGCAUGUGUAAGUGCCUUUACACAUG